CCUACGGGGGGCAGCAGUGGGGAAUAUUGGGCAAUGGGCGCAAGCCUGACCCAGCAACGCCGCGUGAAGGAAGAAGGCUUUCGGGUUGUAAACUUCUUUUGUCAGGGAAGAGUAGAAGACGGUACCUGACGAAUAAGCCACGGCUAACUACGUGCCAGCAGCCGCGGUAAUACGUAGGUGGCAAGCGUUGUCCGGAUUUACUGGGGGUAAAGGGCGUGUAGGCGGGUUGACAAGUCAGAUGUGAAAUCCUGCGGCUUAACCGCGGAACUGCAUUUGAAACUGUUGAGCGUGAGUGCAGGAGAGGCAAACGGAAUUCCUAGUGUAGCGGUGAAAUGCGUAGAUAUUAGGAGGAACACCAGUGGCGAAGGCGGUCUGCUGGACAGCAACUGACGGUGAGGCGCGAAAGCGUGGGGAGCAAACAGGAUUAGAUACCCGAGUAGUC
rnacentral:rRNA from 1 species